rnacentral:rRNA from 1 species
AACGAACGCUGGCGGCGCGCCUAAUACAUGCAAGUCGAGCGAGAAGACGUAGCAAUACGUUUGUAAAGCGGCGAACGGGUGAGGAAUACAUGGGUAACCUACCCUCGAGUGGGGAAUAACUAGCCGAAAGGUUAGCUAAUACCGCGUACGCUCCUUGGACUUCGGUUCAGGGAGGAAAGCGAUACCGUGGGUAUCGCGCUCUUGGAUGGGCUCAUGUCCUAUCAGCUUGUUGGUGAGGUAACGGCUCACCAAGGCUUCGACGGGUAGCUGGUCUGAGAGGACGACCAGCCAGAAGGGGACUGAGACACGGGCCCCUACU